UGGUUGUGGGUAAGGUCAAAGAUGAUGGUUCAACAAGUACAAGUCAAACGUCAGCCUGCCUGCAUCGUCAAAAGAAAAAUUUUUUUACAGCCUGUACAAAGAGGAUAGACUAACGAGAGAGAGUGUCCCAGAGUUGAGGGAAUGCAUAGAAACGACUGGUUGUCUUGAGUUUCACGAGCCACUUACAGUGUUUUGUGGACAACACAGCAUACAAGUACCCAAGAUCAUUUACGUACCUGAUUCUGAUGAAGGUUCUAGCGAUGGGAAUAAU
rnacentral:misc_RNA from 1 species